GAGACCCGUACCCACAGUUGCCAGCGGCUGCUCCGGCAGGCUGGGUACACCGUGGGGACCGCCUCUGCUAAAGAGGAGGAAGGAGCGGGCGACGGUAGGUCAGUAUGCCCCGAAUUCUCCGGGCUACACGCGGGCUACAAUGGAUAGGACAAUGGGUAACUACACCGAAAGGUGGCGUCAAUCUCUUAAACCUAUCCUUAGUUCGGAUUGAGGGCUGAAACUCGCCCUCAUGAAGAUGGAAUCCGUAGUAAUCGCAUUUCAAAACAGUGCGGUGAAUAC
rnacentral:rRNA from 1 species